UCUUGUAUAUAUACAUAAUUGGAAUCUCGGAAUCGGCUUCCACGAUUUACAUGAAAUUGAGUAUAUAGGGAAUAUCGGGGACG